rnacentral:rRNA from 1 species
AUUGAACGCUGGCGGCGUGCUUAACACAUGCAAGUCGAGCGGUAAGGCCCUUUCGGGGUACGACGAGCGGCGAACGGGUGAGUAACACGUGGGUGACCUGCCCUCAGCUCUGGGAUAAGCCUGGGAAACCGGGUCUAAUACUGGAUAUGACUCCAUGACGCAUGUUGUGGGGUGGAAAGCCUUGUGCGGCUGAGGAUGGGCCCGCGGCCUAUCAGCUUGUUGGUGGGGUGAUGGCCUACCAAGGCGACGACGGGUAGCCGGCCUGAGAGGGCGACCGGCCACACUGGGACUGAGACACGGCCCAGACUCCUACGGGAGGCAGCAGUGGGGAAUCUUGCGCAAUGGGCGAAAGCCUGACGCAGCGACGCCGCGUGAGGGAUGACGGCCU